CUCUGGGUAUGGGUGUAGUUAGAACAGAGGAAAAAAUAACUCAGGCUGAUCUGAAUGGUGCAGCAAGCUGAUCAACACAAGUUAAUCCAACCUCUGUUGGCUCUGGUUUUCGGCUGGGAUGAUAGGAAGGCUUAGGUGGAGAAAGAUUUUGAUAAAAACAACAUGAAAGUGCAAUGCAACAUGAGGUGGAUAAACAAAACAAUAUGACAUGAUAUGGACGUGGUCUAAAACAAAACAAAAGUUAGCCUAAAUUUAACUAGCCACAAGUUUAGAAUCAAAGGGGUUGUGCCAUGCUUCAUAUUUUAUCUUUAAAAAGACACAAAGAAAAGACUCUAAACACUAAUGGUACACAAAAGAGGGUCUAUAAGUUUUCCAAGAUCAAGUAACAAAGUGCUCCCUCAAUAUUAUUUAAAGCAUACAACAUGUGGUUGCAGAAUUUGUUAGAGCAAUGGUACAAUGUUACUUGAUGGUUUCGAUUAAAAAGCAUAAUAUAGAUCGUCAUCUUAGUAAAGAAAAUAAAUAAAAAGACGGGUUGCCUCCCACAAAUGCUUUAGUUAAAGUCAUGUAGCUAGACUUCUCACCUCGAUAAUGUUCAUGUGAGGCCAUGGUCCUUUGCGUGAGAAUCCAAAGUAUCCAUGCAGCUUGAUGUCAUCUUUUGUAAUCCUUCAUGGUUCGCUUCUAACACCACUUUCUUUAGAUGUAGCCUGCUUAUGUCUUCAUGUGCCAAUGCUCCGGGGGUUUUUAUUUUGUUCUAGGCUUCUAAAAUUGAUUAUGUAUGCUUGAUGAAAGCAUUGCUCAAGCUUCUCUUCAUUGUUGUCAUCCUCAUCUCCUUCGUCUUGUUCUCAUCGCCUUGUGGCUACCUCAUCUUCAUGAAUUUUCCCCUGCAUCCAGAACAGAACAUAUACUGAAAUAUAGCUCUAUUUGAAAAUUUUAUGAU
rnacentral:lncRNA from 1 species